UGCAAGCAUGAUGCUAUUCAUUCAAACCCUGUGAAAGAAAGUCCUGUUCCCUUCACAUCUGUCUGUGAGAUUCUAGGAGCCCCAGAGGCUUUCACACAUGCCACAGAGCAAGCGGUUCACAGUUCCAGCUUCAGCCUUUGAUACAACCUGGAUUAAAAUAUUUUUUUUCAAGUUAGAAAAAUGAAGAUGUUCAUACUGCUUGCUCUCCUGAGUGGGGGUUUUACUGCUCCAUUUGUGAAGGAAGAAGAAGCAAAGCAAUUAAUCAGAUUGAAGAGACAAUCCGGAUACUGGGACCCCAACCACUCCCAGAAUCAGUGGGGUUACACUGUUCAGGAACAGGUGUCAUCUAGGGAUUUUUUAUUGCAUUGUCCUGUCCAGGCUUUUCUACAUGUACAAAAUACAUAGUGUUUGUGUUUGCACAUUAUAUUAAAUAUUUCUAUUUCCAACAAAGGCUGAUGAGUACUGGACUGUUAUCCGAACCAAUGCUCAGUAUUACAUGGAUAUGGGGCACUUGAUGUUUGACCGUUCUGUGGCUACUGAAAACAACCGUCUCUAUAUGGACAUGCUACGGAAUGCUCGUGCUCACCUUGACAGCCAGACAAACAGACAGUGACAGAUGGUCUGUAGAAGAUCUGUGGAGUUCCUGAGCGGCCACUGUUGAAACAUAUUACAUUUUUGCCCAUGCUUGUUUAGUUUCUGAAGAUAUAGCACAGGCUUCUGUAACUUUCUGAAAUGCAUGUAACAUAAAGGAUAUGAAUAAAAACAUUUAUAGGAUUUAUAAAC